GACGAACGCUGGCGGCGUGCUUAACACAUGCAAGUCGAACGGCAAGACACUACUUUCGUGGGGUGAUCGAGUGGCGAACGGGGGCGUAACACGUGAGUAACCUGACCUAGACUUUGGGAUAACUUCAGGAAAGUGGGGCUAAUACCGGACCGGAGAUCAUGUUGCAUGGAGGGCGUUGGAAAGUCUCGGCGGUUGUGGAUGGACUAGCGGGUUAUCAGCUAGGUGGUGGGGUAGUGGAAUACCCAGUAUUUGACCGAUACCCCGCCCGAGAGCGUGACCGGCCACAAUAGGACUGAGAGACGGCCCAGAGUGCUACGGUAGGCAACAGUGGGGAGUAUUGCACAAUGAUCGGAAGCCUGAGGCAGCAGCGCCGCGUGCGGAAUGACGUCCUUCUGGUUGUGAACCGCUUUCGCUUGUGACGAAGCUUGACUGACGGUAAUGAGUAAAGAAGCACCGGCUAACUACGUG
rnacentral:rRNA from 1 species